AACGAACGCUGGCGGCAGGCCUAACACAUGCAAGUCGAGCGAACCCUUCGGGGUUAGCGGCGGACGGGUUAGUAACGCGUGGGAAUAUGCCCAAAGGUACGGAAUAGCCUCGGGAAACUGAGAGUAAUACCGUAUGUGCCCUUCGGGUGAAAGAUUUAUCGCCUUUGGAUUAGCCCGCGUUGGAUUAGGUAGUUGGUGGGGUAAUGGCCUACCAAGCCGACGAUCCAUAGCUGGUUUGAGAGGAUGAUCAGCAACACUGGGACUGAGACACGGCCCAGACUCCUACGGGAGGCAGCAGUGGGGAAUCUUAGACAAUGGGGGAAACCCUGAUCUAGCCAUGCCGCGUGGACGAUGAAGGCCUUAGGGUUGUAAAGUCCUUUCAGCUGGGAAGAUAAUGACGGUACCAGCAGAAGAAGCCCCGGCUAACUCCGUGCCAGCAGCCGCCGUAACAC
rnacentral:rRNA from 1 species